CACUUCUAUAGACACCCUCUCUAUCUGAAACUACAGGUCAGGGCACUUCUAUAGACGCCCUCUCUAUCUGAAACUACAGGUCAGGGCACUUCUAUAGACACCCUCUCUAUCUGAAACUACAGGUCAGGGCACUUCUAUAGACGCCCUCUCUAUCUGAAACUACAGGUCAGGGCACUUCUAUAGACGCCCUCUCUAUCUGAAACUACAGGUCAGGGCACUUCUAUAGACGCCCUCUCUAUCUGAAACUACAGGUCAGGGCACUUCUAUAGACGCCCUCUCUAUCUGAAACUACAGGUCAGGGCACUUCUAUAGACGCCCUCUCUAUCUGAAACUACAGGUCAGGGCACUUCUAUAGACGCCCUCUCUAUCUGAAACUACAGGUCAGGGCACUUCUAUAGACGCCCUCUCUAUCUGAAACUACAGGUCAGGGCACUUCUAUAGACGCCCUCUCUAUCUGAAACUACAGGUCAGGGCACUUCUAUAGACGCCCUCUCUAUCUGAAACUACAGGUCAGGGCACUUCUAUAGACGCCCUCUCUAUCUGAAACUACAGGUCAGGGCACUUCUAUAGACGCCCUCUCUAUCUGAAACUACAGGUCAGGGCACUUCUAUAGACGCCCUCUCUAUCUGAAACUACAGGUCAGGGCACUUCUAUAGACGCCCUCUCUAUCUGAAACUACAGGUCAGGGCACUUCUAUAGACGCCCUCUCUAUCUGAAACUACAGGUCAGGGCACUUCUAUAGACGCCCUCUCUAUCUGAAACUACAGGUCAGGGCACUUCUAUAGACGCCCUCUCUAUCUGAAACUACAGGUCAGGGCACUUCUAUAGACGCCCUCUCUAUCUGAAACUACAGGUCAGGGCACUUCUAUAGACACCCUCUAUGUUAUCCAACAUCAACCUGCGUACUGACACAUUGUGGCUGGAGAGUAAGAUAAUAUGUAUGAUCCUCCUACAUAAAUACCUCUCUGUCUGUUUCUGUCUCGGCUCCUGUCUGUCUGUCUCGGCUCCUGUCUGUCUGUCUCGGCUCCUGUCUGUCUGUCUCGGCUCCUGUCUGUCUGUCUCGGCUCCUCUCUGUCUUGUCUCGGCUCCUGUCUGUUUCUGUCUCGGCUCCUGUCUGUUUCUGUCUCGGCUCCUGUCUGUUUCUGUCUCUGGCUCCUGUCUGUUUCUGUCUCGGCUCCUGUCUGUUUCUGUCUCGGCUCCUGUCUGUUUCUGUCUCGGCUCCUGUCUGUUUCUGUCUCGGCUCCUGUCUGUCUGUCUCGGCUCCUGUCUGUCUGUCUCGGCUCCUGUCUGUCUGUCUCGGCUCCUGUCUGUCUGUCUCGGCUCCUGUCUGUCUGUCUCUGCUCCUGUCUGUCUGUCUCGGCUCCUGUCUGU